rnacentral:sRNA from 1 species
CACGCGAGCAGUGCGCGCAGCCAGCGGCA